rnacentral:rRNA from 1 species
GGAAAAGACCACCCGCUGAG